GGUGUGCGGCUUACUAUCGUCGAGGUCGAGGAAAGUCGCUCGUGCCAUGCACGCGUCCGGCCCGCUCGAGUUGGGUGCCUUAGGGUGCACGCCCGGGCACUGGACUGAGACGCUGUCGCAGUGAUGGGAGAGCUCGACCUUUUG
rnacentral:ribozyme from 14 species